rnacentral:rRNA from 1 species
AACGAACGCUGGCGGCAUGCCUAACACAUGCAAGUCGAACGAGACCUUCGGGUCUAGUGGCGCACGGGUGCGUAACGCGUGGGAACCUGCCCUUAGGUUCGGAAUAACUCCCCGACAGGGGUGCUAAUACCGGAUAAUGUCUUCGGACCAAAGAUUUAUCGCCUUUGGAUGGGCCCGCGUUGGAUUAGCUAGUUGGUAGGGUAAAAGCCUACCAAGGCGACGAUCCAUAGCUGGUCUGAGAGGAUGAUCAGCCACACUGGGACUGAGACACGGCCCAGACUCCUACGGGAGGCAGCAGUGGGGAAUAGUGGACAAUGGGCGAAGGCCUGAUCCAGCAAUGCCGCGUGAGUGAUGAAGGCCGUAGGGUUGUAAAGCGCUUUUAACCGGGAUGAUAAUGACAGUACCGGGAGAAUAAGCUCCGGCUAACUCCGUG